GCAGGUACGCGACAAGGAGAGCUGAACGUGGGGAGCAAGAAGCCCCGAAAGAUCCUACCUGGAUUCCAAACAUUACCUAAUGGCUCUUCACGCAAGUUAUGGGUAAUGUGGGAAUUAGCUGUCAUGAUGCUACCAGCAAAAGACUGUGGACUUGUCCCAUCCAUUGGUAAAUUGCUGGCAUCUUCCUUGAUUGAAGGUGAAUCUGGAGUAACUGUUCUUUUGGUAAAUGCUGGAAAGGCAAGAGAAAAGACGAAAAUAAACCUAAAUGAAUAAAAUCCUUGGGCUGACAAAAUUCUGGGGCAGCAAGGAAGCCUGUAUGUCCUACAGAAACCCAAUCAGAUGAAAGAGAGGCCAUGAAAUGCUUCUGGUGUCUACACAUGGAGAGAAAAUGUUGUGUCAGACUCAGCUUUGAAUUCCAAACAUAAACUUUUAGAUCAGGCUUUGUCCAGUAAACCUGGUCAGCUUCAUACAAAACUAUGUUAUGCUCUCAGAAACUGUGGAUGUUGGUCCUGCUGGAUCUCGAAAGAUGAGGGAAUCAAGAAACAAGUGAUUUGCUAAAUGUUGUAUAAGCGGCAUUUUAUAUGCUGAACCCAAGUCCUCACACUCAAAAUUUCUAUUUUUGUUCAUAUUUUUAAAAAGAGUGUUUAAUUCACAAGCCAAAUCCUGUUGGCAAGACACUUCCUAAGGGGAUCCACGUGGACCCAGGACACUUAGGAGCAGCAAGAACUUGGCGCUCACUGCCGAACUCCCAGCCUCACCUAACACACAGAGGCCUUGCCUUUGGAGGACUUCUGCAAUAUGAUCCACAACCCUCAGAUUGGGAAACUGAGUUGAACGUUUCUACCCGUUAAACAUUUGGUUAUGUGGGUACAAGUUAAGUGAAUAUAUUAUGCAAAAUCAGCCCAAAGCAGACUGUUCUUAGCAACAUAAUCUGUUUAAUUGCAUUUUGUUGGCAUACUGGAGAGAACCUCACCCUCGUCCCCAUAAUUUUCGUGAAAUAACCGCUGUUUUGUUGGUGACUUGUGUACUGUCACUUUUGAAUGCUUCAUAAUAAAUGCAUAUAAUAAUGCCUCAA